rnacentral:tRNA from 1 species
AUUUAGGUAGUUUAAUUAAAAUUUUAAUUUGUGGAAUUAAAGAAAUGGGUAGAUGACCAUCCUAAAUA